rnacentral:rRNA from 1 species
UGGGGAAUAUUGCACAAUGGGCGCAAGCCUGAUGCAGCCAUGCCGCGUGUAUGAAGAAGGCCUUCGGGUUGUAAAGUACUUUCAGCGGGGAGGAAGGGAGUAAAGUUAAUACCUUUGCUCAUUGACGUUACCCGCAGAAGAAGCACCGGCUAACUCCGUGCCAGCAGCCGCGGUAAUACGGAGGGUGCAAGCGUUAAUCGGAAUUACUGGGCUUAAAGCGCACGCAGGCGGUUUGUUAAGUCAGAUGUGAAAUCCCCGGGCUCAACCUGGGAAGUGCAUCUGAUAAUGGGAAGCUUGAGUCUCGUAGAGGGGGGGAGAAUUCCAGGUGGAGCGGUGAAAUGCGUAGAAGACUGGAGGAAUACCGGUGGCGAAGGCGGCCCCCUGGACGAAGACUGACGCUCAGGUGCGAAAGGGUGGGGAGCAAACAGG